UACGUAGGGGGCAAGCGUUGUCCGGAUUUAUUGGGCGUAAAGAGCUCGUAGGCGGCUUGUCGCGUCGACUGUGAAAACCCGUGGCUCAACCAUGUGGUCUGCAGUCGAUACGGGCAGGCUAGAAUUCGGUAGGGGAGACUGGAAUUCCUGGUGUAGCGGUGAAAUGCGCAGAUAUCAGGAGGAACACCGGUGGCGAAGGCGGGUCUCUGGGCCGAUAUUGACGCUGAGGAGCGAAAGCGUGGGGAGCGAACAGG
rnacentral:rRNA from 1 species